rnacentral:rRNA from 1 species
AAUAUUGGAAAAUGGGGGCAACCCUGAUCUAGCCAAGCCGUGCGAGGGAUGAAGGCUUUAGGCUUGUAAAGUACUUUCAUUGGGGAAGAUAAUGACGGUCCCCACACUAGAACACCCGCCUACCUUCGUGCCAGCAGCCGCGGUAAUACGAAGGGGGCUAGCGUUGUUCGGAUUUACUGGGCGUAACGCGCACGUAGGCGAAUUGGUCAGUUAGGGGUGGAAUCCCGAGGCUCAACGCCGGAACUGCCUUUAAUACUGCCAGUCUAGAGUCCGAGGGAGGUGAGUGGAACUCAUAGUGUAGAGGUGGAAAUAGUAGAUAUUAGGAAGAACACCAGUGGAGAAGGCGGCUCACUGGCUCGGUACUGACGCUGAGGUGCGAAAGCGUGGGGAGCAAA